rnacentral:lncRNA from 1 species
CUUCAUCUAGCAUAUGAUUUUGUCAGCUGUCAAGCUGCUCUGUUUUCUGAAUAUGGCUUAAAUUAUGAAAAAAAAAAAAGACAUUGAGAAACUCAACAAUUAAACGAUAAUCUAUAUGUAUAAGGUGUUAAUUUAUGUCUUGACUCGAGAACAAGAACAACAAACGAUGAACACAAGACAGAUUGCGGUCUUGGAGCAUUUGGAGUAAACUAAGAUCACGACACAAAACCAGGCGAUAGAAACAGGGACAAGCACGCGACAAUUACUGGGGGGAAAAAGGAAAAACAGGUUCAUUUGGAGGCAUUGGUUGGAGCUUGAUCCAUACCUGCAGCAAUGCGAGCUUUAACGAAGGCCAACAGUUUGUCUCUGGGAGGCAGGCUGCCCUUAACAACGCUGCAGCUCACGAACUCGUCGGUCCAUUUGAACAACUCGGGAAAUUUCUCAGCUGACAGCACCUCCAUCCCUGUGGCUUCUUGGAUGACCCUGAGCCAGUAGCCAAUAAAAUUGGCAGCAAUGUCAACCAUUCCGACUGUAUCUCCCCCAAAGAAUCUCUUUCCACGCAGCGCACUUUCAAGCGUUUUUAGACACUCGCAAGCUUCUUCCACUACCUUUUCUCGCUCACUUUCUGGGCUCCACCCUGCUUUCCGUAGCACAGGCAAGCACUACAUGCACACCACAAAAAGAACUAAAACAGUAAGACCAAAACUGAUACAUCCUACGGUUUCGAGAGUAGAAAUCUUCUGUUCUCAUUUAGUGCCCUUGCUUGGUCGUUAUAUAAGUUAGAAUGGGUCAAAUUCAACCCAAAUAUAAGUUUUGCCAGGUGAUCAGGCCUAUUUCUGAAUCUGAGCUGUUUGAAAUCUUAAAAAAAGUAGACUCAAAGAGUAUUUAAAUGAUCAAAGUCUUACAUUCUCAUCGACGAAGUUAGCCCAGAAGCGAGCCAUGGCUUUGUCAUAAGGAUCUUCGGGCAAAAUGGGAUUGCCCUUCCAAGUUUCCUCGAUAUAUUCAAGUAUAACGAGCGACUCAGCAAUUGGUUUUCCAUUGUGGAGGAGGACAGGAACUUUUUUGUGAACAGGAUUGUAUUUCAAAAGCAAAGGGCUCUUGUUUUUUAAGACAUCCUCCUCUAUGUACUCAUAUUGAACACCUUUCAAUUGCAAAGCAAGCUCUACCCUGCGGCUAAAAGGGCUUCCCCAAGCUCCAAAAACCUUCACUUCUUCAGCCAUUAUGUAACCUUUUUCUUUUUACGUCUUCUGCACUUGGAAGGAGACUUUGGUUUGAUGCUACUUAUAGAGGUUUUCUUAGGGAGGAAGACAGGCUUGCUGUCAUCAUCCUUACUUAAUCAGUGACGGUCGAGUGAGAGUGAAGUGAUUGGAGCAUAAUGGCAAGUCAAAGGAAAAAAAUGCCGAAGAAAGUUCAAAUUAAGAUGAAGCCUGAGGUAAGAAGGUGCGUUAGCUUGAAAACUAACAAAUUGGGCCUUCGGUGCUCUUAUUUCUUUGGGAUGUUCAAGUCCAACCCGAUCUUGAGCCUUGACUGCCAGCCCUUAUCAGAACGGUAGAAUGCGAUAAUAUAAAGCCUGUUUAAUCUGAUUUUUAAUUUAUUUACUUUUUAAAAAUAAAAAUCAAAUCAAAUAAGAUUUUAAAUAAAACUCUUAAGAAAAAUAGCUUUUUUUUAAAAAAAAUAAAAUUAAAAAAAAUUUAAAGAAAAGCUCCAAAUAGAAGUUUUAUCUUCUUUUCUUUUAAAAACAUAUCAAUUUUUCAAAAAGUAUCCCUCUCGUUCAAUCAAUCUCCCUAUUCUCUCUCUUUCUGUAAAUCACCCUUUUUCAACAUAAAAUCAAUUUUUUUAUUUAACUUCUGUUAACUUCAUUAAUCCUAAUAUUUUUUACAUCUCAAUUUUCAUAUUUUUCUCUUGCCAAAUAUGAAAAAAAUAUUUUUUUUUCUUUUCAGAAAACAUUUAUGUGCUUUUCAAAUGGAGCCUAAAAUUUUGUUUUAAAAUAUUGAUUAGGUACAACCCAUUAUUGUGGUAGUUAUUAGUUGUGUAAAUGUGAAUUAAUAUAUAAUAAUUAUAGCAUGAAUUCUUUCACUCAUAACAUACUUUUGAACAAUUAUAUUUUCAUUCUUUUAUUCUUUGAAUUUACUAAUCAAUAAAAAAAGCUAAACUUCACCUACACCCUUCACAGUUUAAAUUUUUCUCGCACGAUUCUUUUUUCAAUUAAUAUUCCAUGAACAAUUUUUAUUCCUUCAAGAAAUUAAGUUAUUAAUUUUACCUAAUAAAAUUACAAAAUAUACUAAUUUUGUAUUGAAAAUAUUUAAUAAUUUGGUGUAAGAACAUCAAUGAUAUGAUCAUUAGCUUGAUAGUAUGAAAAUCUAAUCCAACAACUCAAUUUUUCAAAUUAGUUUUAAGUUAGGGUACAAUUUAAAUUUGAAAUAUCUUUUUAGAGAUAAUGUAUAAUGGAUUAAUAUUUGAUGCACUGAUAGUGUAUAGUUUUAAUACACAGUCAGACCAUUGCAUCAAAUAUUUUUCCAUACAUAAUUAGAGGAAUAAGUUUAUCUACCUUUUGGGCUUACUUGAAUGCUUCUAUUGAUUCAAAAUUCAAAAGAGAAAUUGGCUUCCAAACAUUUAACAUUCACUAAUGAGUAUGUCACCUUUCAUAUUCAAAGCUCAACACAACCAAUUUAGGCUUCCUUUCUUAAAUGGGUUUCUUUCCAUUCAAAAAAAAUUGGGUUUUGGAGCCACAAUGCAAAAGAAAAUCCUUGAACAAAAAGAAAAAAAAAGAACGUGUUUAUUCCCCCCCCUCAAAGGGUUGGGGAUGAAGUCCUUUUUGUGUGUGUUUUUCCCUCUAAGUGGGUUUCAAAAAUAUAUUUGGUAUCAGCUGUUGGUGGGAGCCUAUCCAAAGCAAAGCAAAAUCCUUCAGUUGGAGCAACUGCAUUAUGGCCAAAAGAGACCCCAAAGCCCUGCAAGGAAAGUUAGAACCAAAGUGGGAUUAUUGGUUAAUUAUGAGAUCUUCACUUCAACUCCAAUGUCAUUUUCCCAAUCACUUUCAUUGUUAGUUAAUGAGAAAAAUGCUUUCAUGCCCAUCAAACAUAGAAAUGUGCCUAAAAUUGUUAUACAAUGAGGCUGAAUCCAUCGUGAACAACGAUAAUGAGACAAACGAUAAUCAUUAAAUAAUAUUUUAUUUAUCAAAAAUAAAAUUUACAUCCAAAUUCAUUUUAAAUUCGAAAAGAAGGUAUUCAAACGUUAAUCGAAUCGAAUAUUAACAAUUUCUUGCCUUUCUUCAUAUUCGAUUUUGAAUGUUGCGCAAGAGACAAAACAUCCCUUUCCCUUAUCCUUUGUGUUCUUCACAAAUUCACAAUGUGGUUGCUAUGAGCCGACCAUUUUUUCCUCGAAAUUUUCAAUUAUUUUUUUAAAAAGAUAAUUCUUUUCUAUUGCUCGUAUAUUAUGAAAUUAUAUAUAUAUAAUAAAAUUAAAAUAAUAUUUAUAAUUCACAUUUAAUUCAAAUAAAACCCAAAAAAGUUAACUCUGUUGGAAUUUCUUUUACUACAAUUCACAUAGUUUUUUUGACCCUUGCAAAAGAAGAUUUGACAAGAUUUGAUUUUUGAGUUUGGAAAAGAAGAUUCCAAUUUUUCACAUCUCGAAUGCCAAGAGGAUUUGCAUGAGUCACAGACAAAAGUGGAGCGUGGCCAUCAUAAAAGUUACCUUCUUUCCUUUGUUCUAAAAACAAAAAAUCCAAUUAAAUAAAAUAAUAUAAUUAAUGUAUAUUACUUAUAAUUAAUGCAAUAUCUAUUAAAGUUCAUUAAUUAUUUUAAAAUUAAUUUUAAAUUAAAAUUUUAAAAUUAAUCCACAUCAACCCCAACUCUCUCGAUGAGUCUCACAACGCUCUCUGGGCUAAAUCCGGUUCUCGUAAGUUUCUUUCUUUUUCUGACAUAGAUGCAGCUUCUUCUUUUUUCUUUUUUUAUAUUCUGAUCUGAUCUAAACCUUGGGUUGUUUUUCGAUUCUUGCAGCUCUUAUUCCUUUGACAGAGUUUAGAGAGCCUGAGAUUAUGAAGAAGUACGAUGUUAAACCUGAUAUUGAAGUUCUUGACAUGCUUGACACUGCUUCAAGACAAAAAGAGGUUCAUUUCUCCCCCUUUUUUUUAACCUUUCAAAAUUAAGUCCUCUUGUUGAUCAUCAUUUUAUCUUGUCUGAGGCUGAUGUACAUGUUUGCGAUUGCAGAUACACAUUGUAACGAAACUGUUCUGGGGAGAAGAUGCUAGGGAAAAAAUUCUUGAUGCUAUUGAGGAUCUGAAACUUGACUCUUUGGUUAUGGGAAACAGAGGACUUGGAACCAUUCAAAGGUAAGAAAAUGACCAUCUUUUUUUAAUGUUCCUUUCAUUGUCUCAGUUGUCACUGGGGUUUUUUGCAUUGGGUUGGUUCGGUGGGAAAAACAGGAUCAUCUUGGGGAGUGUGAGCAACUACAUUAUGACACAUGCUCCUUGCCCUGUUACCAUCGUUAACUGUUGAGUUUUAGGUUGACUAAAUUUCUAGAUCUUAUUUAAUUAGGAUUUUUGUUUGUAUACAAUAUUAAGUAGUUGUAUGGUUUUAAACUUCUUUUUCCACAUCGAAUCCUAGUCAUAUUCUACUUUGGACUUUUAUAUUAUAAAAGUGGAUUUCUAGGCUUUAGAAUGGCAAGUAGUGUUUUGAGAGCUCUAGAGAGAGAACACCUUAUAACUCUGUUUUUUGCUCUAGGUGGAGCUAAAGUGAUUUGGGUGAGUGUUCUUGGAAGAUUAUUGAGGAAGAGUGUGCAAGAGAUCUUGGGUUGUUUUGGGGAACCAUAAAAGUCAAUUUAUUGUACUUUAAAUUCUCAAUAAUAGAAGAACAGUUUCACUCCGUGGACGUAGGCAAGAGGCCGAAUCACGUAAAUUAUGUGUUUUUCUAUUUGCUUAAUUUCUCUGAAUUUUAUUUUUGUUGAUUCUUGGGCAAUUUUCACAACAUUAACGAAUCAAGCUCCAUGAAGCACUGAUAAGUUCAUAUAUUUCGUCUUUCAUUUACNAGACAAAAGCCGAACCAUAUAAAUUCUUGUAUUUUUUUUGUUUGUUUAAUUUCUCUAGGUUUUAUCCUUGUUUGUUCUUGAGUAAUUUUUAUAAUAAACUGAUAUCACAACUUCAAUUUCAAUAAAUCUAACUUCAAUAAAGAUAUCAAAAGUUACUAGUUCUACAAAUUUCUCAAUUGAGAAGUUUGAUGGGAAAAUUAGCUUUACAUAGUAGCAUUAAAAAGUGAAAGAUCUCCUUGUGCAACAAAGUUUGAUGCACCCUUUAGUAAGGAAAGAGAAAGGGUAACAAGAUGGCAUGAAGGAUGUUAAAUGGGUAGAGUUGAAGGAAAGGUGUGUUAGCAUUAUUUGGCUUUGCAUUAGAGAUAACGUGUUUAUCUAUGUUAUUGAUGAGGAUUCUGCUAUAAGAUUAUGAGUAAAGUUAGAGAAAAUUUACUUAGCAAAAAGUCUUUCUAACAAGUUGCAGCUUAGGCGAAAGUUGUAUCGCUUAAAGAUGGAGGAGAAUGGAGACCUCAUGAAGCAUAUGAAUGAAUUCGAUGAAAUCAUUGAUCAGUUGAAGAAGGUUGAUGUCAAGGUGGAGGAAGAGGAAAAGGCACUAUUGUUCCUAGCUUCGCUUCCAGACUCCUAUGAGGUAUUUGUGGAAUCUCUUAAAUGUGGGAUGGAUACAAUAACGUUAGAACAAGUACAAGCAGCGUUAAUAUCUCGUGAAGCCCGAAAGAAAAGUAAAGAAGGGGAUAAAGAUCCAAAUGGCUUGACAUUAGUAACUGAGGCUAAUAGGAGGAAGUCAACUGGUAAGGGAUCUAAGGGUGGCAAGUCUAGAUCCAACAAUGUUCAAUGCUUUAAAUGCAAAGGGUAUGGCAUAUUAAAAGGGAUUGUCCUGCAAAAGGGGAUGAAACUAACGAAAACAAAGGUGAGUGUGCUUUCGUUGCUAAAGGUGAUGAUUGUGAUGUCCUUACAAUCUCAGAAAAUAUGGAUGCAAAUUCUGAUUGGUAUUUAGAUUCUACUUCUGUUACUCACAUAUGUUAUCAAAAAGAUUGUUUUGAUUUACUUCAAGAAGGGGUGACUGGGAAUUUGACUUUGGGUAAUAAGUCAAUAGUGAAGGUCAUGGGUCUUGUAGUGGUGAAAAUCAAAAUGUUUGAUGGGGUUGUGCGCUUUUUGGGUGGUGUGGCCUAUGUCCCAAAGAUGCGUAAGAAUCUAAUAUCAUUGAGCUUGUUAGACUCCAAAGGGUAUGGAUAUUCUGCUUGUGAUGGAGUAGUAAAAGUCACACAAGGCGACAUGGUCCUGAUGAGGGAAAAUUUGCAUAAUGGCUUGUAUCAUCUAGAAUGUGAGGCCUCGAAAGGAUGGGAACAGUGCACAAGGGAUGGUAGCUACCAGAGUGAGAUUUCAUUUGUCGAGGAGGUGAUGAAAGAUUCCCAUGGUGUAGAUGAUGGUGAAAGGAUGAAAAAUCUUACCAGGAGUGAAUUGAAAGGGUCGUCGAGGUCCCUUUCCGAAGUCAAUUAGUGCCAUUGACUUGACGGCUACACAGCUGCAUUGGCCGUUUUGUGGAAUCAAGUGUUGGACCAUGCUUGAUUCGGUAUGUGUAGUCGUGGUAAUUAUAAAGGCCAAUGAUUUAGAAAGUCUUAUGCUUGGAGAGUUGUUCAAGGUGUUGGAAAAUAGGUGGAGUUAGGAAGUUGCAAUUAGGUGUGACUAGUGGAAGAGGUUUAAGGAGUUUGAAUUCAAGUCAAAGGUGGAGAUUUGUUGAGUUUUAGGUUGACUAGAAUUCUAGAUCUUAUUUGAUUAGGAUUUUUGUAUGUAUAUAAUAUUAAGUAGUUGUAUGGUUUUAAACUUCUUAUUCCAUAUCGAAUCCUAAUCACAUUCUACUUUAGACUUUUAUACUAUAAAAGUGGAUUUCUAGGCUUUAGAAUAACAAGUAGUGCUUUGAGAGCUCUAGAGAGGGAACAUCUUAUAACUCUAUUUUUUGCUCUAGGUGGAGCGAGAGUGGUUUGAGUGAGUGUUCUUGGGAGGUUAUUGAGGAAAAGUGUGCAAGGGAUCUUGGGUUGUUUUUGAUAACCAUAAAGGUCAAUUUAUUGUACUUUAAAUUCUCAAUAAUAGAAAAACAGUUUCACUCCGUGGACGUAGGCAAGAGGCCGAAUCACGUAAAUUAUGUGUUUUUCUAUUUGCUUAAUUUCUCUGAAUUUUAUUUUUGUUGAUUCUUGGGCAAUUUUCACAACAUUAACGAAUCAAGCUCCAUGAAGCACUGAUAAGUUCAUAUAUUUCGUCUUUCAUUUACAAAAAAUUAUCUGAUGAAUGGCUGUUCCUUCCGAGUGUAUGCUUUGAAUCGGCUCGAUGUGCUGUUCCUGUCUGGUUGAUCAUGUUUUCUAAGUAGCUUAAGGAGUUAAAAGGUUGUGUUAUCAAAUUCUUAAAGUGCGGUACUUUGUCGUUUAAUUUAUUCCUUUGGUAUUGAUUUUGUUACCCUACAACUGAAAUCAUUGCCCUUCAUGGUGCCGAAAAGCGUGUCAAGACAUGGAAUUUAAUAAGAAAAGCUUUUGUCUUUGUCCACAUUAUGGACUCUCUCUCAAAUGUUCAGAUACUUGCUUUUUUUUUUCUACUUUCCCCCAUUUUCGCAUGGGCUGAUGGAAAGAUCUAGAUCCAUGAACUUGCGCCACCUGCCACACCGUCUACAUUGCCAACCAUUUUCUUAUUUUUUUGUUGUUGUUGUUUGUAAUUGACUUACCCUUCAUCUAGCACAUGAUUUUGUCAGCUGUCAAGCUGCUCUGUUUUCUGAAUAUGGCGUACAUUAUGAAAAAAAAGACAUUUGAGAAACUCAACAAUUAAAUGAUAAUCUAUAUGUAUAAGGUGUUAAUUUAUGUCUUGACUCGAAAACAAGAACAACAAACGAUGAACACACGACAGACUACGGUCUUGGAACAUUUGGAGUAAACUAAGAUCACGACACAAAACCAGGUGAUAGAAACAGGGACAAGCACGCGACAGUUAUUGGGGAGAAAAAGCAAAAACAGGUUCAUUUGGAGGCAUUGGUUUGAGCUUAAUCCAUAGUUUCAGCAAUGCGAGCUUUGAAGAAGGCCAACAGUUUGUCUCUGGGAGGCAGGCUGCCCUUAACAACGCU